UUUUGAAGGAACGUCGUCUCGUUGGUUCAAACGACGGAAAUCUCCAGCUUGACAGUUCUCAGCUUAAAAUAGGAAGUACAGCUGGCCAGCCUGUACUUCUCUUUUGGCGGUGAUGGAUUGAGAGCUGGUUGAAAACAAUGUUGAGAGUAUGAUGUAACUCCUUUGGAGCUCGGAUCGAACAGAGCUGAUGUUAACGUGGAACUGAAUACAAAAUGGCGUUGCCUUAUUUUAUAUCUCCCAGUUGUUUAUAAAUCUUAGUAAACCGGAUUGGACGACUUUCAUAAAACAACCCAGAUUCUGCCCUACCACAGACGAAAGUUCUGAUUGGUUGAGAAUAAUGUGUCAUGUGUUUCCAUGGUAAUGUAGAUCAGUCUGUCUGGUGCAGUCCUGUUUAUUCAUUUAAACACAUAACUCAUGACAUCUUUAUUUCACAGAUCAUUCACCUGAUUAUUAAUGAUCAACACAUGCUUUGAUUAGCUUUAUCACGAAUAAAGUACUUUCAUUAAUCAAUGAAAAGUGUUCUUCUUCUCUUCUUCUGUCUCUUCUCCUGGAAUGUAAACAUACUGAACCAAGCGUCCGACCUUGGUGAUGUUACUGUGUGAAGGGGCAGCUGUUAAGGGCAGACCAUUAUAAGAUUCAUAACGCUACACCAGAUAAGGUCAAGAAUCAAAGAGAGCUUGCACACAUUCAGACACUUUGGACACUUUCGUUGUCGGUACAGGAUCUGCUCGGGUGCAAGAUCGGCUCGGGGUCCUCCGACUGCCGAUGACGUCAAAGUAGUUGAUUGGGUGAACAUGAACCUUACGGAAUUACGUAAUCACGUUACGUUGGUCCAGGCAAAUUUUUCAGUUGGAAAGAUGGACAACUUUUACAAAAAAAUCCAUCAUUACCUCUUUGAAAAUACACUUUUAGCAUAGAGCUGCAUGUAUGUUAGGGCCGAACGAUUAACUGCAUGUGCAAUUAAAUUGCAAUGUGACAAAAGGAGAUUUUCUAAUCGCAAAGGCUGCAAUUUGGCAGCGAGUGGUUAGCGCAAUGCUAAUAUACAUGGAGAAACCCAUAGGAAUGCUAAUGCUAAUAUCACCGAUUACAUUCUUACAAAUUAUGAAUUAGAAACGUGCCAAAUGAUUACAUUUGGAGUCUAAUAGAAAGUAAAACUACCAUCAAUCAAAUAAGUACAGACAGGUAUUUUAGUAAAGCCAGAAAACUUUUAACUCCAGAGUUUUGGCUAGCAGCUAUGAGCGUACCUGAACUACACAUGGACAAGACGUCAAAAACUGUAAACACAAAAUACUUCAAUAAACGGGACAACGGCCAUAACAUAAGAUAAUUAGACAGAAAGACGCUACACGGAGGUUUUUUGUUGUUUUAAUUCAACAAAACGAACUUUAAACACGGGUGAACGUGCCUGCAAGUUUAGAAAAGAAAACAGCGCUGAUAGCAUUCAUAUUUCUGGAUGGUUAUAAAAUAAAAACAGCACUGGCACGUUAUUACCGGUCAUUUGCAUGUUUAGAAGAAAAGAACAGCGCUGACACAGCAUUAAUAAGCCCUGGAUGAUUAAAAAAUAAAAACUGCACACAAAACAUGCCUGGUUAGUAAAUAAAACACACUUGUCUACCAGAAGAAGUCAUUCGCUCUCAUCUUCCUCUUGCGCACUAAAGCCAUUAAAGUCCUCUUCUUCAGUGUCGGAGUUGAACAGCCUCAGAAGAGCUUCGUCACAUACCUUUUCUGUGGCGAUGUCAGAGUCGCUGUCCGUGUUGCUGUCAUCAUC
rnacentral:lncRNA from 1 species